rnacentral:rRNA from 1 species
GACGAACGCUGGCGGCGUGCUUAACACAUGCAAGUCGAACGGAAAGGCCCUGCUUUUGUGGGGUGCUCGAGUGGCGAACGCGUGUGUAACACGCGAGUAUCCUCCCCUUGUCUUUGGGAUAACUUCUGGAAACUGGGGCUAUUAACGGGUAGGAGCUCCUGCUGCAUGGGGGGGGUUGGAAAGUUUCGGCGGUUGGGGCUGGACUCGCGGGUUAUCAGCUUGUUGGUGGGGUAGUGGCUUACGACGGCUUUGACUGGUAGCCGGCCUGAGAGGGUGACCGGGGACAUUGGUACUGCGGGACGGACCAGACUGCUACGGGAGGCAGUGGUCGGGAGUAUGGCACAACGGGCGGAAGCCUGAGGCGGCAGCGCUGCGUGCGGGAUGACGGCCUUCGGGUGGUAAACCGCUUUCGCCGGAGACGAAGCGGGAGUGACGGUAAUGGGUAAGGAAGCACCGGCUAACUACGUG